rnacentral:lncRNA from 1 species
AUGUAGGACAACAUUAUAGCAUAGUUCCAUCAAGAUUGGUCCAUCCAAUUCCGAGAACUGUCUUGGACAAAAAGUGUGGAAGAAUAAAAAUAAUAAAAAUAACUAGAUUUGCCAUUGCAAGCAAUAGCGGAUGGCACCCUUCCCACAUUGCCACUAAACUACAGCCAGUUCGAAAAUUCCAAAGUCAAAGACCGCAUCUGCAGAUGUUUACUAACAUUGUUCUAAAGUUUCCUCAAUUUUGGAGCAUUUUGAAGUUUUGAAAUUUUU